rnacentral:rRNA from 1 species
GAUGAACGCUGGCGGCGUGCCUAAUACAUGCAAGUCGAGCGGACGGACGAGAAGCUUGCUUCUCUGAUGUUAGCGGCGGACGGGUGAGUAACACGUGGAUACCCUACCUAUAAGACUGGGAUAACUUCGGGAAACCGGCGCUAAUACCGGAUGAUAUUUUGAACCGCAUGGUUCGAAGGUGAAAGACGGUCUUGCUGUCACUUAUAGAUGGAUCUGAGCUGCAUUAGCUAGUUGGUAAGGUAACGGCUUUCCAAGGCAACGAUGCGUAUCCGACCUGAGAGGGUGAUCGGCGACACGGGAACGUAGACACCGUCCAGGCUACUAAGGGAGGCAGCAGUAGGGAAUCGUACGCAAUAGUCGAAAGCAUUACGCAGCAACGCCGCGUGAGUGACGGAGGUCUUCCGUUCGUAAAACUCGGUUAUUAGUGAAAAACAUAUGUGUAAGUAACUGAGGCCAUCUUGACGGUACCUAAUCAGAAAGCAACGGCUAACUACGUG